rnacentral:rRNA from 1 species
AGCGGCGGACGGGUGAGUAACACGUGGGUAACCUGCCCAAGAGACUGGGAUAACACCUGGAAACAGAUGCUAAUACCGGAUAACAACACUAGACGCAUGUCUAGAGUUUGAAAGAUGGUUCUGCUAUCACUCUUGGAUGGACCUGCGGCGCAUUAGCUAGUUGGUAAGGUAACGGCUUACCAAGGCAAUGAUGCAUAGCCGAGUUGAGAGACUGAUCGGCCACAUUGGGACUGAGACACGGCCCAAACUCCUACGGGAGGCAGCAGUAGGGAAUCUUCCACAAUGGACGCAAGUCUGAUGGAGCAACGCCGCGUGAGUGAAGAAGGGUUUCGGCUCGUAAAGCUCUGUUGGUAGUGAAGAAAGAUAGAGGUAGUAACUGGCCUUUAUUUGACGGUAAUUACUUAGAAAGUCACGGCUAACUACGUGCCAGCAGCCGCGGUAAUACGUAGGUGGCAAGCGUUGUCCGGAUUUAUUGGGCGUAAAGCGAGUGCAGGCGGUUUAAUAAGUCUGAUGUGAAAGCCUUCGGCUCAACCGGAGAAUUGCAUCAGAAACUGUUGAACUUGAGUGCAGAAGAGGAGAGUGGAACUCCAUGUGUAGCGGUGGAAUGCGUAGAUAUAUGGAAGAACACCAGUGGCGAAGGCGGCUCUCUGGUCUGCAACUGACGCUGAGGCUCGAAAGCAUGGGUAGCGAACAGGAUUAGAUACCCUGGUAGUCCAUGCCGUAAACGAUGAGUGCUAAGUGU